GUUGGUUUUUAUACUUCUAGUCAGCUGAUGAUGGAUCUGAAAUUGUGGCUCUCAAUUCUGAUGGUUUGUGGGAUGGCUAAAUCUAUAGGCUCGGGCAAGAACUGGCGCAUAUCUGUACCAUCAAAAAUCUCUGUUCUUCAAGGCUCAUGUGUGGUCAUUCCCUGUAAGUACUUUUACCCCAAAACAAGAAAAAUAUUUAAGACAUGGUGGGGAUACUGGAAGAGAGGGAAUACAGUUGUCGCAUCAAAUGUCCACAAUUUGAAACUAACUCGCGAGUUCCACCAUAGAACCAGAAUUACAGGAACCCUUCAAAGCGGCAACUGUACCUGGCAGCUGAAUCGUGUCAGAAAAACCGACACUGGUCCGUUUUACUUCAAAAUUGAAAUUCCACAACAUCAAAGCUUCACUUUCUCAAAAAGUACAGUGACCCUCAAUGUCUUCCGAGUUCCUGAGCCUCCCAUCAUGUCUGUUGCAGUCCUUAAAAAAGUGACUGCCACCUGCAAAGUUACACAUGCCUGUCCAUCAUCUCCUCCCAAAAUCUUCUGGAGCCACGGAGGAAUUUUGAAAACAAAGUCAAAAAAGAUGAAUAAAUGGUUGUGGUCAACAAAGUCAACCCUCACCUUCACCCCUCAAGAAGCCGACUUCAACAAGCCUUUAAAAUGCACGGUGAAUUUCCAUGGCAAGAAGACUGCACACAGCUCAGUGCUUCUCAUCAAGUAGAGGAGCAA